UAGAGUGAGGUGUACUGGAGGCACGAAGAGUUUUGAUCUCUUAUGUACGGGUUCAAGUCCUGUUUCUCUAA
rnacentral:tRNA from 1 species